UACGAAGGGGGCUAGCGUUGUUCGGAUUUACUGGGCGUAAAGGGCGCGUAGGCGGUGCGAUAAGUCAGGCGUGAAAGCCCCGGGCUCAACCCGGGAAUUGCGCUUGAUACUGUUGUGCUUGAAUCCAGGAGAGGAUGGCGGAAUUCCCAGUGUAGAGGUGAAAUUCGUAGAUAUUGGGAAGAACACCGGUGGCGAAGGCGGCCAUCUGGCCUGGCAUUGACGCUGAGGCGCGAAAGCGUGGGGAGCAAAC
rnacentral:rRNA from 1 species